rnacentral:lncRNA from 1 species
AAGCAUGAGGGUUGGUUUGAAGCAUGUUUCUCAAAUAGGUAGGAAAGUCAAAUGAAGUGUUUGGAGUAUUUAGGUCUUUCUGGUAUAUAGGUGAUUCAGGAGGUAUUCUCUUUGGGGUGGCUUUAGUGAGAUCCAUUUGGAAGAUAUCCCACCAUUUGACAGAGAUGGUCUUUCCCAAACGAGGGAUGUAAGUAUAAUCAUUUGAAGUAUUAGGGGAGAUGGUAUAAUCCCAUUUCAUAAUCCAAGGGAUUUGGUAUAAAGCCAUGAAGUAAAGGUGAGUAUCAACUGUAUUAUUGGUAUUAUUGUAUUGUAUAAAUUGUUCCUGCAAAUCCUUGAAAGCAGGAGGUAAAAUCAUAGCAGUUGAUCCCCACACAAAAAACCAGUUUUGAAACAAGGUGGG